UACGGAGGGGGCAAGCGUUAUUCGGAAUUACUGGGCGUAAAGAGCGCGUAGGCGGCGCGUUAAGUCGUUCGUUUAAUGGAAAGGCUCAACCUUUUCACUGCGGACGAUACUGGCGCGCUGGAGUGCCGGAGAGGAAAGCGGAAUUCACGGUGUAGCGGUGAAAUGCGUAGAUAUCGUGAGGAACACCAGUGGCGAAGGCGGCUUUCUGGACGGUAACUGACGCUGAGGCGCGAAAGCCAGGGGAGCGAACGGG
rnacentral:rRNA from 1 species